rnacentral:sRNA from 1 species
CCCGCCUCCAGCUCAGGUACUAGGGGGUCUAGACCCGAGGCUGCCCGGGCCGGAGGCAGCCUUGAGUCCCGAGACCAAACGUCGUUUCCCUCUCGGACCUCGGGCGCUGGGCCGCGCGCUGACCGACAGCCCCUGCUAGGCCCAGCAGGUCCCCUAGUGCCCCGCAGUCCCCCGCAGUCCCCCGCAGUCCCCCGAGACUCGCCGAGCGCCGUUGCUGAGCCCUGCAAAUAGCAGUCUCAGAUGUAGACCUUAUCACCAGAGAUGAGCUGCCGUCUUCUCUGCAGCAAAGGAAGGAUGCAUCACUGCACAGAGAUUGAAAAGGCCUCCAUGCUACUCUGAGUCAGUUACCUGCUUCAGCCUAGAUCCUGCCAUGAAGUGGGCUGCUGCUCCCUGGCUCCCACUCUGAUCUGCUUUUCACUCUUGCCUUGUCUCCCAAUUAAUAGGCAUCGUAUGCCCGUAGUGACAGCGGGUGAAUCCAACAAAGUUAAAAAGAAAAAGUACUGGAGUUCGCAUGAAGGUUGAUUGCCCUAGAGAAGUCGACACGCUCACACAGAUGGAAAUGAUUUCACCGAGUCCUGAAAAAUGUCGUUGUCAGCCCCACAUACAAACCAUGACUUGUGUUUUCUUUAAGAUGAGGAGUCUGGUCAAGAGGUCUGUGUAAUGAAAGAUGUUUGUAGAAUCCA